GUUGGUCCUCAUGACCAGAAGCAGGUUAGAGAUUCUGCAACUAUCUUACGGAAAUUUAUUUCUUAUUUUUACUAGAUAGUAGAUAAAAUAUGUUGAUGAAGGCCUCAACAUUUUAAUCAUUAAAUUUGAUGUGAAUUAGUCCAGAUAUGGACAUUUAGUAGUACAAAAUACACAUGGGCUUCUCUUGCUAUGCUUCUCUUCUUGCUGCAGCUUGUACUGCUUUUAGGCUUAAGUAUAUGAUGUUGUUAGAAUGCUGAUGAGUUCUGAGGUUGAGUUUGUAAGCUGCACAGCUUCUCUGCAUUUUGGUCUUUUGUGAAGUUCUUGUUGCAAUUGUGCAAAAAUGAUCAAAUUCCAGAGUUUCAAGUUUCAUGCUGUGCUUCUUAUUUUGCAUCAAUGUUGCAUAUUAUAUAACUCCCUUAAUCAUCAAAGUAGAGUCACCCUGUACAAAAAAAAAAAAUUUAAAUAGAUAAGUCAUGAAGCACACAAGCAUAUUUUUGAAGAAGCAUUGGCAGCCUGGCUACAUGAUUGUUGUGAUAUCAUGUAAGGGGCUUGUUGAUAAUACUGUAAUUAGAUGAGAGCAGCUUGUAUAUAUCAUGGUUAUUGGUAUCUUUUCAUUUUAAUUAUUUUAACUAUUUCGUUUUCAAUUAUUCUUCUGGUGAUUUGUCAAAUAUGUAAUUAAAGUUUUUUUAGAAUGGAUUAUGGUUUUCUGGAUUAAUUUAUUUCAUGCCAUUGAUCUUCAGUGGUUUCAUUCAUAUUCCAGAUUUGAUUCUGUGAAGUGUGCUGCUUUGUGUUGUAAUAAAUAAUCUGACUGCUGUGACUUUUGGUUGUGGUAAAACUAUCUUUCUU
rnacentral:misc_RNA from 1 species